UAAUCUAAUUAAAAUGCUAUUAAUGAUGAUUUGAAAUUUGAAUGAGAUUAUUCGAUUUAAAUCAAAAAAUUAAAUCAAAUUAAUUUUAUUUUAUUUAUUCAGUUUAAUUAUUUUUUUUCAGUUUUAAUUAAAAUUUUAAAAAAUUUUCGGUAUUAUGAUUUAGAUCGGUUAUUAAAUUAAAAAACUGACGGCAGACACUUCUCCAUCCCCGCAUACAUCUCUAAUUCGCAUUCUAUUUCUUCUUCUUUUGCCCCUAUCACCAUCAGCAAGCUGCGUUGACAUCUUCCAAAUCUGGGCAUCAACUUUCUGAUCUGUCGGAUCUCAUUUGUUUUGGGCAUCAACUUUCUGAUCUGGCGAGUCUUACGAGCCCAUCUUUCGCGACUUCAGUGGCGUCUUCCAGACUAACUCUACGCCAACCCCGGCCUUCACCAUCUCGCCUCUUCCAUUUCUCUUCUUCACUCAACGAUUCAGAAGCCCUAUGGUUUUAGUAGCCUCCAAUUUCUCCCUCUCUUGCACAAACUUAAUUAGCGACUAUAAGUCUUCCAUUUCAGCUCAUUGUGUUCAAUUCUGGCCUGAUCCUCCAAAUG